UCUUAUGGUGUUGCAAGCCCCUUCAGCUC
rnacentral:piRNA from 1 species